UACGUAGGUGGCAAGCGUUGUCCGGAUUUAUUGGGCGUAAAGCGAGCGCAGGUGGUUUAUUAAGUCUGGUGUAAAAGGCAGUGGCUCAACCAUUGUAUGCAUUGGAAACUGUUAGACUUGAGUGCAGUAGAGGAGAGUGGAAUUCCAUGUGUAGCGGUGAAAUGCGUAGAUAUAUGGAGGAACACCGGUGGCGAAAGCGGCUCUCUGGACUGUAACUGACACUGAGGCUCGAAAGCGUGGGUAGCAAACAGG
rnacentral:rRNA from 1 species